UACGUAGGUGGCAAGCGUUGUCCGGAAUUAUUGGGCGUAAAGCGCGCGCAGGCGGUCCUUUAAGUCUGAUGUGAAAGCCCACGGCUCAACCGUGGAGGGUCAUUGGAAACUGGGGGACUUGAGUACAGAAGAGAAGAGUGGAAUUCCACGUAUAGCGGUGAAAUGCGUAGAGAUGUGGAGGAACACCAGUGGCGAAGGCGACUCUUUGGUCUGUAACUGACGCUGAGGUGCGAAAGCGUGGGGAGCAAACAGG
rnacentral:rRNA from 1 species